UACGUAGGGGGCUAGCGUUGUCCGGAAUCAUUGGGCGUAAAGAGCGUGUAGGCGGUCCGGUAAGUCCGCUGUGAAAGUCGGGGCUCAACCCUCGAAUGCCGGUGGAUACUGUCGGGCUAGAGUGCGGAAGAGGAGUGUGGAAUUCCGUGGUGUAGCGGUGAAAUGCGCAGAUAUCAGGAGGAACACCAAUGGCGAAGGCAGCACUCUGGGACGGUACUGACGCUGAGACGCGAAAGCGUGGGAGCAAACAGG
rnacentral:rRNA from 1 species